GAGUGACGCUCAUCAAGAUUUGGGUCUACGUGGAGAUCGUAUUGGUCAUCCUUGCAAUAAUCGGUUCAGUGGUGUUGUUUGUGCUCGGCGAGCAUUGGAUCUCCCUCGUUGUUGUUCUCAUCGGGACGGCUAUUUCAUCGUACCUCAUCGUCGUAGUGCGCUCCUACGCCGUACAGUUGGAAUCCAGUGGCGGUGGUGGCGGAAACAUCAUCUAAGGCGCUUGACUUCAUUCCCUUCUGCGUACAUUCGUUUUUUGUACAUCGAACACAUGUCAAGAGGUAAUUACUGCGAACACCAAUGCUGGACAUCGAACGUAUAACAAAAAGUAAUUACGGAUAUCAACACAGGAUAUCAAACAAUUGACAAGAGGUAAUUACGGCGACUAUCAAUGCUAUAUACGUCGAACGAAUGACAAGAGGUAAUUUCGGAGACCAUCAACGCGAGACAUCAAACAAAUGACAUGAGGUGAUUACGGCGCCCAGGAAUGCUGGACAUCGAACGUAUGACAAGAGAGAGACCAUCGGAGACGGAGACCAUCUACG